UACGUAGGUGGCAAGCGUUGUCCGGAUUUACUGGGCGUAAAGGAUGCGUAGGCGGAUGUUUAAGUGAGAUGUGAAAUACCCGGGCUCAACUUGGGUGCUGCAUUUCAAACUGGAUAUCUAGAGUGCAGGAGAGGAAAGUGGAAUCCUAGUGUAGCGGCGGAAUGCGUAGAGAUCCGGAAGAACACCGGUGGCGAAGGCGGUCUGCUGGGCAGUAGCUGACACUGAGGCGCGACAGCGUGGGGAGCAACAGG
rnacentral:rRNA from 1 species